CCUACGGGAGACAGCAGUGAGGAAUAUUGGUCAAUGGGCGGGAGCCUGAACCAGCCAAGUCGCGUGAGGGAAGACGGUCCUAUGGAUUGUAAACCUCUUUAGGCGGGGAGCAAUGCCGGGCACGCGUGCCCGGAGGGAGAGUACCCGCAGAAUAAGCAUCGGCUAACUCCGUGCCAGCAGCCGCGGUAAUACGGAGGAUGCGAGCGUUAUCCGGUUUUAUUGGGUUAAAAGGGUGCGUAGGCGGAUCGUUAAGUCAGUGGUCAAAUUGAGGGGCUCAACCCCUUCCCGCCAUUGAAACUGGCGUUCGUGAGUGGAAGAGAAGUAUGCGGAAUGCGUGGUGUAGCGGUGAAAUGCAUAGAUAUCACGCAGAACCCCGAUUGCGAAGGCAGCAGGCCGGCUUCCGACUGACGCUGAAGCACGAAAGCGUGGGGAUCGAACAGGAUUAGAUACCCGGUAGUC
rnacentral:rRNA from 1 species